GCUAGCGAGGGAACCGGUGGUCGACGGGAUCCAGCGGGGUAAACACUAAACAGCGCCUUAAGCGCCGAUGAGACGCGUGCGAGGCAAUCGGCGGUCCAGGGGAUCCAGCCAAGGCGAGGCGUCUGAGGGGAUCCGGCGCUCGAGCGGCUACCUCCAGGGCAACCUGUUCUUCUCGAUGGUGCUCCAGCAACUGCAUAAUUCAGGCUGGAGGUGAUGGAGGGCACUGUACAAGAGGACAUGUGUAUGGGAACAACAAUACACCAGGUUAGUUGAUUUUGUACCUCAAUCCAAGAGAGAGAGAGAGAGGUCCCCAGCAAUUGCUCAUUAUAAUGGUCCAGCUAAUAAGCUUACGACGGAAGAUUACAUGGAUAACAAUUCUUGAUGUUUACAACAAUUAGUAUUAGUGAUAAAUAGUAUGGUUGGCUGCCUCUUUGUGGUUUCGUCAACAAUUCAUGAUCUUUACAUGAAUUAGUAGUAGUGAUAAGUAGUAUGGAUGCCAUAGGAUUAUUUUUCAUUCUCACAUUCAAUUAUUAGUUAUUGCAAGCUUCUUAGAUCUAUAAUUUGGUAAACCUACUAACAUCACUUAAUUGAAAUAUUUUUUGUUUUUUCUUGUGCUCGCCUUGCAGGUAAAUGUACUUGAAAAGUCUAAUCUGCAACCUUUCACUCAAAGCCCUUAAAAAUAAAAUGACAAUAAUUCGGUAUAUACAUGUCUUGAAUUAAAUUUUUGUCUCAUAUUGCAACUUGUAUUAUCAAUGAUUUUUGAUGAAUUAGAUUUCCUUUACUUGAAAAUGAGCCACCUUUUCUAACACAGUAAAGCUAUGUUUAGAAGUAUUCACUAAUUAACUUGUGAAGAGAUCUGAAACAAGGUUACCCACUAUCAGAAAUAAUGAAUGCAUCUGUACAAUAAUCAGUUGGGUACCUUCUUUUAGUUUGAGUUUCAUAAUUUGGACAGUUUUUAUUGGAUUGUUAUUGUUGUUUCAUGUAUUUGUUACGCACUAUUGUCCCACCUUAUGUUACUUGACAAUAUUGCAAAACAUAUGUUUUAAUGGAGCUAUCUGAAUGACCUUGAUUUGAUUUUACCUUGUCUAAUAUUUUUCUGUUGUUAGUACCAUUUGGAUAGAAAUUUCAUAUGUAAUCAGUAAGUUUGCAUUUAGUUUUUCUGUUUUUAUUUCCUUUGUUUCCUCAGAGGUUGAUUUCACACGAUAAUCCCAUUUGCAAGAGAGCUUUUCAUCGCCUCCAUACAUGUGUUUCUCUGUAAGUACUAAACUGGUUUGGAAAUUUGGAUUUGUGGUCUGGCCUGGAUGUCAACAUCAUUUUCUGUAUGAUGGUAUUAUCUGAUGAUGGGAAAAUGAAACAUUUUUCCAUUACCAGAUAUGUUGUCUUACUCAUUCUCUUUAAGUACUACAUCUGGAAUGAUGUUAAUUGGCGAUUAGAUUACUCCCGGGCUUGCUAGCUUUUGGAGAGAAAAUUAUAACUGAUCAGAUUUGGAUUUUUUUUUCUGACCAUUUCCGUGGGAACGAGGGAUUACGUCAUUGCUUUACCUGGUACCAUUUGUUUGUGGACACAGCCCAUAGCUACAAAAAAAGCAUCUUCAUAUUUUCUUAGGUGUCUUGCCUGUUGCAAAUACUGGCAUUCAGUCAAUUUGUAGGUUACCUGCAUAUUUUCUUCUUCUUGUAGUUGUGUUUUGCUUGGAAACGGCCUACUAUCACAUAAUAUAUUGACAUGCCCUCACCAACAUAAUUUGUUACCUUCGCAACAAAUUUGAAAAGAUGCAGAGUGUUGUUUGUCAGGUGUGAUUGCCAACUUUUUGAGUUUUUUAUAAUUCAACUCGUGUCUACCUCCCUUGUGUACAGUGUAUUACUGUUAUCGCUUGUUUGUUGUCUUCUUUUAUUAUGGACAAACUACUAACAUUAUUGUAUGUUUUUACUGAAUGUAUAUGUCCAGUGUACUACCAUUCUUCUUUUAUAUAUAAUUAUACCACAGAGGUUUUUACAAA